UACGGAGGGCGCGAGCGUUGUCCGGAAUCACUGGGUGUAAAGGGUCCGCAGGCGGAUGGGUAAGUCGGUGGUGAAAGUUCGCAGCUUAACUGUGAAAUUGCCCUCGAUACUGCCCGUCUUGAGUGUGGGAGAGGAUGAUGGAAUUCAUGGUGUAGCAGUGAAAUGCGUAGAUAUCAUGAAGAACACCGGUUGCGAAGGCGGUCAUCUGGCCCACAACUGACGCUCAGGGACGAAAGCGUGGGGAGCAAACAGG
rnacentral:rRNA from 1 species